rnacentral:rRNA from 1 species
GAUGAACGCUGACAGAAUGCUUAACACAUGCAAGUCUACUUGAACUUCGGUUUGGGUGGCGGACGGGUGAGUCACGCGUAAAGAACUUGCCUCACAGUUAGGGACAACAUUUGGAAACGAAUGCUAAUACCUGAUAUUAUGAUUUUAGGGCAUCCUAGGAUUAUGAAAGCUAUAUGUGCUGUGAGAGAGCUUUGCGUCCCAUUAGCUAGUUGGAGAGGUAACGGCUCACCAAGGCGAUGAUGGGUAGCCGGCCUGAGAGGGUGAACGGCCACAAGGGGACUGAGACACGGCCCUUACUCCUACGGGAGGCAGCAGUGGGGAAUAUUGGACAAUGGACCAAAAGUCUGAUCCAGCAAUUCUGUGUGCACGAUGACGUUUUUCGGAAUGUAAAGUGCUUUCAGUUGGGAAGAAAAAAUUGACGGUACCAACAGAAGAAGUGACGGCUAAAUACGU